rnacentral:rRNA from 1 species
CGGUAACAUUUCUAGCUUGCUAGAAGAUGACGAGUGGCGGACGGGUGAGUAAUACUUAGGAAUAUGCCUUUGUGUGGGGGAUAACUAUUGGAAACGAUAGCUAAUACCGCAUAACGUCUUCGGACCAAAGGGGGCUUCGGCUCCCGCGCAAAGAGUAGCCUAAGCGAGAUUAGCUUGUUGGUGAGGUAAAGGCUCACCAAGGCGACGAUCUCUAGCUGUUCUGAGAGGAAGAUCAGCCACACUGGAACUGAGACACGGUCCAGACUCCUACGGGAGGCAGCAGUGGGGAAUAUUGCACAAUGGGGGAAACCCUGAUGCAGCCAUGCCGCGUGUGUGAAGAAGGCCUUCGGGUUGUAAAGCACUUUCAGUUGUGAGGAAAGGUUAACGGUUAAUACCCGUUAGCUGUGACGUUAGCAACAGAAGAAGGACCGGCUAACUCCGUGCCAGCAGCCGCGGUAAUACGGAGGGUCCGAGCGUUAAUCGGAAUUACUGGGCGUAAAGCGCACGCAGGCGGUUUGUUAAGCUAGAUGUGAAAGCCCUGGGCUCAACCUGGGAAUUGCAUUUAGAACUGGCAGGCUAGAGUUUUGGAGAGGGGAGUGGAAUUCCAGGUGUA